GCCUUGUGGCCGGGCCGGGCCCGCCACAGGGCGGCGAGGCCCAAGGCGGCGAGGGCCGCCGUGCCCGGUUCCGGCACCGGCACCGGGCC
rnacentral:tRNA from 1 species